rnacentral:lncRNA from 1 species
UCUUUCCUUUUUCCACUUCUACUCUCUAGCUAUCUCCUUUCCCUUUGAUGUUCCUUCACCUAGGUCAAUUUAUAUCUUAGGGAAGGAUUAAAUAAACUAUAAAUUAAAGUUUUAUAAUUCAAAUUCAUGCAUGAAGAAAUAAGAAGAUGCCAUUUCUUACACACUUCUAAGCUCACCUUUGAUUUUCAAGGUUGAUGUAUAUGGAACCCUAAACUUUUCUUCUUCAAUUCCUUCAAUAUAUGGCUGUUCCUUUAGCUCUUGGUCUUAGGGUAAAUUUUGGUUAAAGGAAGAAGUUGAUUGAGUGAGAUUUGGCUUGGCUUUGGUGGAAGGAAG